rnacentral:rRNA from 1 species
UACGGAGGGUGCGAGCGUUGUCCGGAAUCACUGGGCGUAAAGGCGCGUAGGCGGCGCGGGAAGUCAUCGGUGAAAGUUCAGGGCUCAACUCUGAAUCGGCCGGUGAUACUCUCGUGCUCGAGCACUGUAGAGGCAGGUGGAAUUCCGGGUGUAGCGGUGGAAUGCGUAGAGAUCCGGAAGAACACCGGUGGCGAAGGCGGCCUGCCUGGGCAGUAGCUGACGCUGAUGCGCGACGAGCGUGGGGAGCAAACAGG